rnacentral:rRNA from 1 species
UACGUAGGGGGCAAGCGUUGUCCGGAUUUAUUGGGCGUAAAGAGCGUGUAGGCGGCUUUACAGGUCCGUUGUGAAAACUCGAGGCUCAACCUCGAGACGCCGGUGGAAACCGUAAGGCUAGAGUCCGGAAGAGGAGAGUGGAAUUCCUGGUGUAGCGGUGAAAUGCGCAGAUAUCAGGAGGAACACCAGUGGCGAAGGCGGCUUCCUGGACCUGUUCUGACACUGAGGAGCGAAAGCGUGGGGAGCGAUCCGG